rnacentral:tRNA from 1 species
GUUUUUGGCUCAGUGGUAGAGUGCUUGCCUAGUAUGUGUGAGGCACUGUGUUCAAUCCCCAGCACAAUA